UACGGGGGGGGCGAGCGUUGUUCGGAAUUACUGGGCGUAAAGGGCUCGUAGGCGGCCAACUAAGUCGGAUGUGAAAUCCCCAGGCUUAACCUGGGAACUGCAUCCGAUACUGGAUGGCUUGAAUCCGGGAGAGGGAUGCAGAAUUCCAGGUGUAGCGGUGAAAUGCGUAGAUAUCUGGAGGAAUACCGGUGGCGAAGGCGGCAUCCUGGACCGGCAUUGACGCUGAGUGAGCGAAAGCCAGGGGAGCAAACGGG
rnacentral:rRNA from 1 species